CUAAGAAUAUUCCGCAAUGGACGGAAGUCUGACGGAGCGACGCCGCGUGGAUGACGAAGGCCGAAAGGUUGUAAAGUUCUUUUGCUGGGGAAGAAUAACCGCAGGAGGGAAUGCCUGUGGGAUGACAAGAACCGGCGAAUAAGCCCCGGCCAACUACGUGCCAGCAGCCGCGGUAACACGUAGGGGGGCGAGCGUUGUUCGGAAUUACUGGGCGUAAAGGGCAUGUAGGCGGCUUGGAAAGCCUGGCGUGAAAGUCUGCAGCUUAACUGCAGGGGUGCGCUGGGAACUGCUGAGCUUGAGUGACGGAGAGGGAGCUGGAAUUCCUGGUGUAGGGGUGAAAUCUGUAGAUAUCAGGAAGAACACCGAUGGCGAAGGCAAGCUCCUGGCCGAUGACUGACGCUGAGGUGCGAAAGUGUGGGGAUCAAACAGGAUUAGAUACCCUGGUAGUCCACACAGUCAACGAUGUGCACUAGGUGCUGGGGCGGUAGCUUCGGUGCCGGAGCGAACGCGGUAAGUGCACCGCCUGGGGAGUAUGCUCGCAAGGGUGAAACUC
rnacentral:rRNA from 1 species